rnacentral:misc_RNA from 1 species
AACCUAGCACACCUGCGGUGUGUACCUGCGGAAGGAUCAUUAAAAAGAGUGUGUACCCCUCUGUAAAAUGAGUGGGUUACCUCCCGUCCUUUGUUGACCUCUUAGGAGGUUAUUUUGAACUUUCUGCUUCGGUGGGGUUAAACCUACCGGAACACCCUCAAAUUCUUAUCAUUUAAAAAUUGUUCAGUCUGAUUUUUGUUAAUAAAAACAAAAAACUUUCAGCAACGGAUCUCAGAUCGG